rnacentral:rRNA from 1 species
UACAGAGGUCCCAAGCGCUGUUCGGAUUUACUGGGCGUAAAGGGUGCGUAGGCGGUGGGGUAAGCUUGAGGUGAAAGCUCCGGGCUCAACCCGGAAAAUGCCUUGAAUACUAUCCCGCUAGAGGGUUGGAGGGGAGACUGGAAUUCUCGGUGUAGCAGUGAAAUGCGUAGAUCUCGGGAGGAACGCCAGUGGCAAAGGCGGGUCUCUGGACAACACCUGACGCUGAGGCACGAAAGCCAGGGGAGCAAACGGG